rnacentral:lncRNA from 1 species
UGCACUUUACCGAAGAUACUUGUGUGACCUGGGGCAGGCCACUUAAAUUUGCUUUCCUUUGGUCCCUUCGUGGUUAUCUAAACGGGAUCCUUUUGAAGUUGGAGAAAACAGAAAAGAUACCAUUGUAGUACCUGCUCUCCACAGCUUGUUUCCUCAUUUCACUUGCCUUGUGUGCUCAACUGGUCAGCAGCAUGCCUUCUACUGGGAACACCUCAAAACUUUUCCUGGUCCUCAUUUCGUUGCUGCUUGUGCUGCCAGCAGUUGAAGCCCUGGAUGCUGGAGAUGCAGUUGCCUUCCUGGGUUAGUCAGGAGGAAGCAGCUACUAAUCUUCCAGUCAAGAUGACAAGGCUUUGGAGAUAAAUGCUGCUGCUGGUGAUGCUGCUUUAAUACUCCAGUGAGACUCAGCAGUUCUACAGCAUCUUCCAUCUGAGAGCCCUAAGUGCUUGCAAAUACUAAUGUUUGCAUCCCUACAGUAUCCUUUUAUGAAUGGGAAAACUGAUAGGAGAGUCAGUGACUUGACCGCUGCUUUACAAAG